GCUGCCAAGAAAAGCCGCUAUUGCUUCAUAAGUACCCGUACCGUAAACCGACACAGGUGGAUGAGGAGAGAAUCCUAAGGCCGGCGGGAGAAGUGUUGUUAAGGAACUCGGCAAAAUGACUCCGUAACUUCGGGAGAAGGAGUGCCACAGAGAUGUGGCCGCAGAGAAAUGGCCCAAGCAACUGUUUAGCAAAAACACAGGUCUAUGCAAAACCGAAAGGUGAGGUAUAUGGGCUGACGCCUGCCCGGUGCUGGAAGGUUAAGAGGAGAGGUUAGAGCAAUCGAAGCUUUGAAUUUAAGCCCCAGUAAACGGCGGCCGUAACUAUAACGGUCCUAAGGUAGCGAGAUUCCUUGUCGGGUAAGUUCCGACCCGCACGAAAGGCGUAAUGAUUUGGGCACUGUCUCAACAACACACCCGGUGAAAUUGAAAUACCAGUGAAGAUGCUGGUUACCUGCGCCAGGACGGAAAGACCCCAUGGAGCUUUACUCCAGUUUGAUACUGGGAUUCGGUACUGUCUGUACAGGAUAGGUGGGAGGCUAGGAAAUGGUGACGCCAGUUGCCAUGGAGCCAACCUUGGGAUACCACCCUUACAGUACUGGGUUUCUAACCUGCAGCCGUAACCCGGCUGGGGGACAAUGUCUGACGGGGAGUUUGACUGGGGCGGUCGCCUCCGAAAGAGUAUCGGAGGCGCUCAAAGGUUCCCUCAGAACGGUUGGAAACCGUUCGAAGAGUGCAAAGGCAGAAGGGAGCUUGACUGCGACACCGACGGGUGGAGCAGAUACGAAAGUAGGACUUAGUGAUCCGGUGGUAUAAAGUGGGAUUGCCAUCGCUCAACGGAUAAAAGCUACCCUGGGAUAACAGGCUUAUCACUCCCAAGAGUUCACAUCGACGGAGUGGUUUGGCACCUCGAUGUCGGCUCAUCGCAUCCUGGAGCUGUAGCAGGUUCCAAGGGUUGGGCUGUUCGCCCAUUAAAGCGGUACGCGAGCUGGGUUCAGAACGUCGUGAGACAGCUCGGUCCCUAUCCGGCGUGGGCGUAGGAUAUUUGAGAGGAGCUGUCCUUAGUACGAGAGGACCGGGAUGGACAAACCCCUGGUGUAUCUGUUGUUUUACCAAAGGCAUGGCAGAGUAGCCAAGUUUGGCAGGGAUAAACGCUGAAGGCAUCUAAGCGUGAAGCCCCCCUCAAGAUAAGAUAUCCCAUCUUCGGAGUAAGACCCCUUGAAGACUACAAGGUUGAUAGGCUUCAGGUGUAAGUGUGGUAACGCACUCAGCUGAGAAGUACUAAUAGGUCGAGGACUU
rnacentral:rRNA from 1 species